UGUUGACUCAUGGGUGCAGCAGUGGUACUUUGCACAGGUGUCUUCACCUUCACAUCUCACACACCCGUUACCACACGUCAUCACACACCUGCAGUUGGCAGGGCUCCUGGCAGGCUCCUCACUGCAGCUCCCUCCACUGCCUGUCCAAGAUGCUGAAAAAAGGGAUUGGGGAGUUCAAUGGGAAUGGAGUGACUUGAGAAUCAGGAGUGCCUUUUAGGACAGCUGCUCCCUAAUAGCUUUCCUGCUAUGCAGCCAUGAAGCACCUACCCAUGUUACAUUCUUUUCAGCUUUAAAGAGAAUUUUACAGAGGUACAGUAAUGUUUAAAUACCAGCUGAGAAGUGGGUCGUUUUGUUUCAGACUGUAAAGCAUACAACAAAUAACAAUGCCUAUCCUCAGAAGGCUAAUCCUGUGCCACAGUGCUGUACCUCCAGUGGCUUCAGCAGGGUUUGAAAAUUCCUCCAAGACUUCUGUGGUCCAAAUGACAAACACAGUCAAAGCCCCGUGGGCUGGGGGGAAUGGGAGAAUCUCUUCAAGCAUUUCUCUUACUCUCAUUGAGUAGGACUAUACCAUCACCUACUCACUCCACUGGAGGAAAGAUGGGCUCUAAGCUAGCAAGGGCCCAUGAACACUGGGGAAGGGGAACAGAAUUGCAAACAAAUUGGAAUCCAUAGUCAUGACUAUGACCCUGGACUGUUCAAAAGCCACUGUCAAAGUGAUAGCUAGGAAAAAAAACCAAGAUGCACCAGCAGAGAGCUAGAGAUGCAGAUUUCAAACGCAGCAGAGAAUGGAAAGAACUUGUAUGAUUUCCUAUACAAAACAUUUUCUUGAUUCCUUUUUUUUCCCUUCAUAUAAAAGAUAAAUUUCUGCCACUAAUCCAACCCACUCAGCGGCUUAGCCACCAGCCCACUCAGUGGCUAAAUUAUACAUAGGCUCUCCCUGUUACACUGCCCGACACAAGCAUCUUUCACUGCUGGGUGCUGUGGGACAGCAGGUGAGAUGUUCCUUUAAAAUUAAGAGUAGUUCAGGUUCAUUUCACACCACUGAAAAGCUUCCAUGAUGUUACUAGUGUCAUGCUAGUCUAAACUUGACAUAAAUUAUACCAUAAUCAAAGUCCUGUUCAUUAACUCAGUGAAAAUCUCUCUUCUGAUUUAUUUGGAUUUUGUUUCAGACAACAAGUUUAUAAUCCAGAAAACUCUGAAGAUCCACAAAUUCAACAGUGCCAUAGAAAAUAAAUAUUUACCACUAUAGUAAUAUAAAAAAUAUAUUAUUAGUAGCAGCUCUCUUGUGCUCCAGUAAUUAAGAAACAGACAUGUCAAUUUUAAAAGCUCAAAAAAGAAGUUGUGAAAACAAACAUGGAUUAUAGUUAUAGGAUACCAUUUAAGAGAUACAGGCACACUGGAGAGAGAUACAGAAAGCAACAGGAAUUGUCAGAGGUCUAGAAAUAAUAACCUAUAAGAAAAGAUUGAAAGAUUGUCUAGAUGAGGGAACAAUGAAAGGAAAUAUGGAAACAGCCUGCUAACAUGCAGGUGGAUGCUCCAAAUACAAAGGGUAUUAUCACUCUCCCUUGUCCAUGAGAUUAAGACAAGAAGUAAAGGGACUUAAAAUGCAAUAGAGGAGAUUCAGGUAAAACACUGAAAAAAGCUUUCUAGUAGUAAAGUGUCACAGCACUCUCCAAACUAUCAAGCUACAAACAAGGUCUUUUACCAGCACACUCUUCAUGCCAGUCCCUCUACUGCCUUCUCCUACUCACCUCAUCCAGGGCACACUCUUUCUCUUGCUUUUUCCUCUCUCCCUUAGCUGCUCCUUCUUCACUAGCUGCCCAACCCCUUACCAGAACCAGCCACAGCUGCACCUUAUCUACAUCGGACAAACACCCGCCCCUGAAGCCAGCCCACAGCAGUAUAUUAUCAGUGCUAAUUAACCCAGCUUCAUUCCUCUACAGUAAAGCUCAGGAAUCACCAAAGUUGGUAUAGAAUCUCCACUAUGAGAUGUUUUUAAGAACAAGAAGGACAAACUUGCCCCAGAUAAUUACAGUUUAUGUCACCAGAGCAAAAGCAUGGGUGAUAUGUGUUCUCAAGAUUCCUUCUAUCUCUUUCUACUGUGUUUUGAAAUUCAACCUUUUCUAUUCUAACAGUAGGAAAUUUUUUCCCUUUAUUUAUUUUGUUUGUCACAUAAUAAAAUAAAAAGCAGUUUGCCUAUUGAAAGAUGGAUUAUUUGGAUCAUAAUUAAGCUAUAACUCCUUUAGGUCAAAUAUAGAAACAAAUUGUUGAUUUGGAAAAAUUACUGAGUGCUACCUCAGUAUUCCAACUCAGUUUUAUUACGGGAAUCCAUCUUUUUAAAGAUACCAUUAAAAAGCCAUAUAUAUACCAGCCAUAUAGAGGACGGAGUAAUAACCUAGAAUAAUUAUUGAAAUAAGAUGUCAUACCCAAAACACAAUGCCAGAAAGUUCUCAAAAUAGGGUUUACCAUUCUGAAAGGAUUCCUUUUCAAGUGAAGGCUUGCAUCAAUGUCUCUCUUUAUAGAUGAUAUUCAUAAAGUAUACAUACAGACCUUUCCAUCACUUACAUCUCAGUGCAUGAGAACAGGUUUGGGCUUAUCUUCUAUUUAAAAGAGUUUCACCAGACAUAUGUAGACAAGAGAAUCUUUACAUAUCAACUCCAUGGACAAAACCUGGGUGUGAGAAAGAGUAUUGAAAACAUUCCCAUAAACUGUUGCCUAAGUGUUUGUUGAGGGUUCUUUUUGUUUUGCUUUGUUUUUCACCUUGUAUCACAUUUGCUGAUACUGGUCAUAACCAUAUGAAAUAGCAGUAUUCAGAUCCCAAAUGCUCUUGAUAUUUUUGCCAUAAAUGCAAGACACGAGUUGUAAAAAAAUGGAGUUAGUAUUUCUUAUUGGGAGACUAAUCAUCUUUGAACUAGGAAGUUUCAGUUUAACUCCAAAGGAACAGCCAAUAAUGGAGUGAAAACAAUGUUACAACAAUGCACUGUGUGGUCAAUCAUACAAUAUGUGAUUCAACAAAUGCACUGCAAACCACCCAUGGGCUACAAAUGGUUCAUUCACAUUAAAUUAUGAAAAGCUGCAAAUUACAAACAUGAUGGAAAAAAUUGGUUCAUGAAUGAUGUAUUAACCCAGAUACUGGCAAAAAUGAUAAAACAUAGUUGGGCAAGCACUACUUUUCAUUUUCAUAUGGUAUGAAACAGAUUGUGAAGCUGGGUUGAAAAUUGAGCUACGGAGCAUUACAGGGAUCAAAUGGCAUUAAUAUGUUUCCAGAAAUGUAGGAGAAAAGGGAAUGUGGAAAAACUCUUAAAAAAAAAUAUAACCAAACAAAAGCACAUAACAGGAUACCUUAACUGCAAUUCAAUAAAGUAAUUUUGCAGCUAAGACAAAGUAAUGACCACAUUUCUGAGAUUUGUAAUACAUAGCAGGAGCUGGGCCCAAGGGCAGUGCAUACUUAUUACUGGCAGUGUGUAUGCUCUUUCAAUACCCAUAAAAUAUUAUAAAGCUUGAUCUGACACAGUCAGCAGACAGUCUGCACAUUAUGUUGUUACAAUGAGUCUAAUUUCAAGAACAGCUCAGAGCCAAAAGUAAAUAAAUAAACUACGGAAAUAAAUAAAAUAAGGGACUACGUAGAACCACUAACCUUUCAUAGAAAAAGGAGGACAAAAACCAAUGUGGCUGUCAGCAAGACCAGCUGGUUUCUUGCAAUAUCAUCUUCACCCCUGAAGAUCAUCCCACCUACCAGAACUCAAGGACUGAAAAAUGUCAACAACAGGAAAUAAACAAGGAAGGGAGAAAUUAAAAUGCCUGUGACCAUCAGGAGCUGUGGAAAGAAUAACUGACACCUGAUGCUUUUCUGCAAAAGGCAUCUAGGUAUGGGCUAGCAACUCCUGCUAAUUUUGGAAGGUGGGAUCCUGAAUGUUUUGCAUGACAGGGAACAAGGUGCUGUUGAAAACACUUGAUAGUAUGCAGAGCUUCCUGAAAUGUGUUCCUAUAGCCAUCCCCAGUCACUCAGGAUCUAAGAACAAGAUACUUCUCAUAAAGAUUAACAGGUAUCUGCUCUGAUCCGUAUACUUCUGUAAGAUGGACUCAGAAUGCACUUUGGUUCUUUGUGAGCCCUCUUCCAAAUGUGAAACAACAGCAUGGGGUGGUGAACCUGUUUUUCAAAGGGACUGAAAGCAGUUCACACUUCUAUACAUUGCUAAUCUUGGGUGUGUCGGUGAGUGGGAUGGUCAUCUGCCUCCUCACAAAAGUUACCCUCUGAAGCCUUUCACACUGUACUCUUCUGACCAUUUUAAGCUGCAUCUCAAACAUCCAAAACAAGAAAAAGUAAAGCCAGUAUUUCACUCCUCAAAUAUGUGCCUUCAGAUUUGGAGAAGGUGUCUGAACUUAGGGCAUCAGACAACCUGACUGAGUGAACUGCAAUAGGGCAUCCAAAAACCACAAAGAAAUAGCCAGUCUCUUUUACUAUCCAGACAAAAUGUAGCCAUCAAAGAAAAUCCUACUGUGUUAGUGUCAACUUUUCUGGAGGAACUGAAAUAUACAGAAAUGAAGUGACUCAGAAGUCUCUGAAGUUUUAAACUACACUUGUUAGGCAUCCAUGAGUACCUUCUCCAAAACUUAAGGUUGAAUUGGCUUCCCCAGGACUAAAAAUCCUGGUGUGUUGCACCUUUUGCUGUGUUUCACACAUUUAGGUGUUCUACAGGAGCUGAGUGCAUUUUUCCUGCUCUAGGCAGAAAGAGAGUUUAAGCUUAUUAUUAUUAGUUGCUCACUGGAGAGAUUGAACCAUUCUAAGCAAAAAUACAGAAUCUGCCAAAACUAAGCUGGGUUUGGAACUACCAUUUAAUCAUAAAAGACUGCAAGCAAAAUUUAAAUCAGAGAAAAAAGGUUGAGAAAAAAACAUAUGAAAGAGAUGAAUGAAGAAAAUACCUGGGCUGGUACUAAGUGAAGUGACAGAAAAUGAAUGACUGAUCCAAUGGAGAAUUUGCUAUUGACCUUAGUGACAACAAAUCUUGACUUCCCUGCUGUUCAACUUAACCACUUUUUAGGGAAGUACUCAGCUGGGAAAAAAUAUUCAGAGGUUACAAAGAGACAUUGAUUUCUCUCUACUCAUUCAGUCUGACUUGGGAAAGACAAAUGGCAGAGGUGUUGAAUGGACAAAUGUAAAAGGAGCACAUAGACUGAUGCAUAGAGCUACAAUUGCUCCCCACACCAGGAUACGUAUCUCAGGUUUGUUACUGGCCAAGAUGAAGGAUGUAAGCUGAAAUUCAGAAAUUGUCCAUCUAUCAGUCAUGCAGUUUCCGGACUUCAAAAAGAAAGUCACAGCAGGCAGAAGAAAAUUACCUUAGGCCUUUUCAAAGUCUAAGACAGUUUUAAUGCAGGUUUCAAAGCACUCUGAAAAUCCCCCGUGACCUAGCAAACAUGAAUAGGUGGGAUGUUUAUAGACAGUGACUGCUGGCUGGGGAUAAGACAAGCAAUUGUUCCUCACCUUACAUCUUGCCCUCCAAAACCUGUCGUCUCACAGUACUAGAAAGCUCUGAGCUCCAUUAUGCUUAAAUUGCUCUAUAUUACUACAUCCUACUGCUGUUUGAGGUGGUUUGUUAUAGUUACACUCCUGCCAGGCAGGUAUAAGGAAAUAAAUGAUACAUUUUGAUACAAGGCUAUUUUGCUGAACUGCGUGGAUUAAAGAACUGGUAAUAAAUUUCUUUUUUCUCUUCUAGGCCACUGGUGCAAAUCCAGUCCAGUUCAACAGUGACCAGAAGUUAUUGCCACCUGACAACAGAACUGAAUCCAUGUGAAAUUGAUUGGCAGUUCUUAGCCCAGCUCCUAAUGGCUUGGUCAUGAAAUUACUACCACUUCUGACACAAAUUGGCCCCAAUGAAGCUGUAUUAACACCAGCACCCAAGGACAAGUGGGGUGGAACACUCCCUCCGCUAUUUAUGUGCCAGGGAGAGUCAGGUCACAUUUUUCAUUUAAAAAGCUUUCUUUAUUUUAAAAAAAGGACUUUUAUCAAGACUGAAACUUUUUCAAGGGAAAUACAAAAUCCAACACAAAAAUUGAUCUUUUUAUAGGAAGUGUCAAGCUGAAAUAUUUUUCAUUUUUUCUUAAAAUGUUGUUCCGCUUUGGAAUUUCAGUUUUAAAAAAGGAACGUGUUACAAUGGGUGUUUAAGAUGACAGCUAGGGUGGCAUUCGUUUUACCUAACUUGAGACAUCUAUAGUGUAGGCGUCAACCUCAGAACUAGUCACCCAAGGUUUCCUUUAUAGUCAAUGGAGAGAAAUAGAUACAUUUAACGUGUGAUUCAUCUGACCUAUUUUAAAUAUCUACUUUAAGAUGAAUAAUGAUCUUAAAAUUACCCUCUCUCUCUGCUGACUAUGGUAUGAGACUACAGAGACUAUCUCAAAUGGAGAUCCAGCAGAGACACCUACUAACGGUCAGAUGAGUCUUCUCCCAGUUGUCUAAUUCUUUAUUACACCCUUGCUUUUCAGCUUUUUAACACUGAAUACCUUAGCAAAUAAGAUAUUUUCAGUUGAAAUAAAAGGAAAGCUGUAUGUUGUUUCAGAAUUUUAAUUUGAAGAUUAAACUUUUCCAAGCCAAUUAAAAAUUUUAAGUGGAAAACCCUAUUACCUGCGUAUGAAGCUGAAGAUACACUAAGGGACAUUUUAGUAGGUAAGAAGGAUGAAAAAUCAUAGGUUUUCUGAAUUCUGUGUCUAUCAUCUCAUCAAAUGGCUUCCACUUACAACUACUGAAGUCAACAGAAAAGCUACAAGGCAGUUCCUAGGAAUGAAGAAUUCAGCUGUUUUGCUUUUCACUCAAAUCUGCGAUGAAGGGAAAGGGGAGGGAAGCAAGGACAGCAGAGGGGAGAGAUAGGAACAAGUGGGACUGGUCAUGGGAAACACGGAGUAGGUGCAGAAAGCAUGAAGAGACGGAUGUUGUAAAGUGUGGCUGAAAAGAAUAAGAGGCAUUUGUGAGAAUGUCUGAAAGGAAGGCAGAGGUAAGAAAGGGCAUAGAAUGGGUAACAAAAGAAAAGGAGCUGUGGGUAGACAUUAACAUUUUACACAGAGUUAAAAAAUCCAAAAUGAGGACAAGUUUUUUCUCACAUUUUGAGCAUCAUUUCCUAUGUUGUCAGGCACACAUCAGACAAAAGUAAAGCAGCACUGUGGAUCCUGCUCCUCCCUCUAUUUUCGGUGUACCCCCAUUCAGGUCCAGAGCUGUUCACAGACCUCCUUCCUCUUUCUCAUCUUAUACUUCCACAGAUCCAAACCAUUUUUUUUGUAGACCUUUGGUUGCAUUGGACUUUGUCCAGUUUCAGCCACACAGAUGGGAAUAUAGCUCAUUUUGUUCAGUAGAGCCAAGUAUAUUGAUAAAAACAAAUUUACAUUGAUUGCCUCUGAGCCUAACACACAGACUUUCUCCUCCCCUCUCCCUAACAAAGCCGUGGAGGAGAUUUUUGAUUUGCCAAUACUCUCACAAACAAAUUAGCUUGAUUUUAACUCCAUUAUUCAGGCUAAUCUCUCUUGGAUUUCCUAGAAUUUGCACAGGAAAUGGUUCAUUUAUUAUAGAUGCUGUGUACACUUAGCUUUUGUAAUUCAAGGAAUGUGUUAGGUGGUUUGUGGUGACAUUUUCCUUUAAUAACGUGGGCAGCACUGGAAUGUCUUUCUCUAACUACCAGUUCACUUGGUGGAUGCACAUUGUUUAGAUUGAGAGCAAGAAAUUCUCAGGUGAUUUGCAAGUACAGGAGAAAGUAGCUGCUGGAAAGGUUAGGAUUAAAAUUGAGCUGUGCCUUUGCCUAGAAAGGAAUCUGAGACUAAUGAUGAGGUUUCAUGCAAUUAUCUUUUAACAGUCUUCACUUGUCUUCCUCUCCUUACCUCUUUCUUUCAGGUAGGAAGAAAAAUGAAAAUAUGGGAAGCUGUGCAGUGGUUCAGAGUCAGACCAGCAACAUGCAGGAGUUUUAGGUUGACUGAGCUUCAGAGAAUGUCAGGUCUGGUCUCUCUCGCUUUCCUUAGGAUUGGCCAGAUGGCUCCUUUGAAAUGAAUGUGUCUAAUUUUAGAACCAGAAAAGGAAAAAAAAACCAAAACCCAACACAACCUAGAUAGUCUAAAGCAAUGUGACUUUUUCCUGAAAGCUUUGAUGUGUUAAGAUUCUAUGGCAACAUUUUUUCCUCUUUCCAUUUGCUUGACUCUCUUUCAGUCUCUCUCUUUUCCCCCACAGACAUGCAUGUUUGUUAACAAAAUUAAUGAAGCACAGAGAUGUAUCUCAUGAAAAGAGACUGCUCUGUUUGGUGCAGCUGGAAUGCUCUUAGCAUGUAAAGGACUCACUUGCUUUAUUGGUUUUCUGUGACUAACCUGAGAAAAAGAUAUGUCAAAAUCACUGUAAUAUCAUAUUAAACUGGACUAAUCAGGCAACAUGGGGCAUGAAUUUCAGAUUACCAAGCGGGGCUGUCCGUGGAAGUGUAAGAAUGGAAUACUUAAUUUUUUUCCUCUUAUUAGAGCUGCAUGCAUUUUGUUUGUUUUUUAGAUUAGUUGUGUUCUUGCAAUAUGUAUGCUAAUUUAUAAAUACUGAAGCUUAUGAUGUAUCCAAAUUAUCUUCCAAUUCACACUGACUUCAGUGAAUCAUGCAGACACAGAUAACUUUCCUAAAUUCUUACUCUGUAAUUUUCCAAAAAAAUGGUAUAUUCCAUUUUGAAAUUAAUUAAAAAUUUUGUCCAACCUGAAACUGAGAUACAUGGACAAGCAGAUAAAUGGACAGACAGGUAGACAGCUAGAGAUUUACAGAUAGGAUGAAAAUAAUUAGUUUAUUCUCAUUGAAUAUGUAAGUAUCUCAAGACUAAAACUAGUCACUGUAGUUUUGCUGUGUAACUCUGCUUCCUUGUGUUUAAUACAGCACAAAGUGGUGUAUACGAAGAAAAUAAUGAAGCAUUUUAAAAGUAAAGAGCUGCAUAAUUAGAGCUAAAGAGCUGAAACUCUUGCAAACAAAGGAUACAGAUUUCAAGUGAGCUUGAGAUAAAUCUUUAACAUCUUUGACCUUCUUAGCUUACUGCAAAAUAGCUGGCAAUGGUGCUUUGCAAUUGCAUGCACUGUGCUUUAGAUAAUUUAUUGUUCAGUUUGUACAGUCCUUUGUAAUAAAAAAUUCAGCCUUCAAAAGGAGGUCUAUUGUGUUGGAUAGGUAAAAGCCUAAGAGAAAAAUGGGAGGUUACACACAUGACAGGAAAGUAAACCAGCUCUGCAUUUGUUUGUCAUGUCUGUCAUCCAAAGAAUAAGAUCUUCACAACAAAAUCUUCUAAGGUUUUCUAAAUUUUUACAGUGUGAAAUACUUAGCAGAGAUAUUAAAGCAAUAAAUAAAAAAAAAUACUUUAUAAAAAAAAAUACUUCGAUUGUGUCUUUUCCUCUAAACCUGGCUCAUUUGGGAGCUCAAAGAAGCUCAGCAGGCGAAGAAAGGAGCUUAGGCGGUGUCUCAUAUUACUGAGUUGAGUUUGUGCUAUUAAUUGAAACAAAACUUACUGCCUAAAGUUUCUCUGUUCUAUCUUCAGUACCCUGACAAAUUAAUUUUCCUCAGUCCUCUUCAUUCAAACAAAGGUACAUUACAAUAGAUGAUAAUUUUUCUCUAUGUUACUUUGAAAGAUAAUGUACAAGAGGUCUAGUGGAGGAUACAGCUGGAACUGAUUGACUCUUAUUGGCUCUGCCCUGACUGGUGUAAAGGGGCAGCUGAAGCCUGGGCUGAAGGCCAAAUUGACCAUCACUGUGUCCCUGCCUUCAAGAACAUCAUUACCUUGCAUUCCCAUGUUCUUUCUUUCCUGGAGAUGGAAACAACGGUUCACACUUUUCUUUAGGUACCAUAGCAAAGUUCAGCAUAGCGGGUCUUUGAGGCCCUAACAAUGCACAUUUUAAAAAGCUGUUGACAAAGGCACACCUCAGCACCAUCUAUCUGCGGUGUAUUUUCAAUAUAUUCUGUUUAAUGAAUGACUCUUUUUGAGUAAGAAGAGAGAAGCAGCGAUGCACACAUUGCUGCUAGCAACUGUGACAUUGGACAGGUAAGUAAUAAGUAACAAGUAAAGGUCCUGCUCCCAGGACUCUGAUUUCAAUGGAAAAGACAAAGCCUUUGCUUCUACUAGUUUAAUUAGUGAAUUCAGUAAAUGCUGUCUUUGUUUGAUUGUCUCUAUAUAAUAAAGACAUACAUCUUGAAUAAAUAUUUCUACAGAAAUAUCAUCUAGUUAUGCUUCUAGAGAGCAAGCUAUUUUCAAUAAACUGGAGCUGUGAUGAGACUUGAGAGAAUUAAUAUGCAUAAUAUUACAGUGAGGCCCACUUACAAGAAUGGCCUGAAUUAUGUAUUUGUAAUUCAAUGUCCCAAGCUUUUUAAUGUACUCUUGAGGAUAAUUGCAGCUGCAGUACAACUGGUGUUACAUACAGUGUGCAUAGAAUUUUUGUUUUCCAUUUUUUGCCUAGUUUUCUCCAUCAGAGUUUCUUUUUAUUUCAGAUGCUGGCUGUGACUGUCCCAGACCUCCCCAACGUACACCUAUUGCAAACUGAAUUUCCCCAUCCCAGUGCUUACAUUUAAGAGGCACAGAAAAUAACCUGAAGAAAGCUUCUUGUUGGGGAAUAUGGUGGGAAAAUAUCAACGGAUAGUGAUUGCCAAAACACGAGAUAUUAAAGAACAUAAAAUCUAGCACAAGAGAGCCCAGGAGCUGAGCUGAGAUGCAAUAGUGUGAGGAAUGGAGCCAGAUCCAUAUCCGUCACUUACACAGAGAAACCAAGGCUCUGGAUUCAGCCAGAGUCCUUGUAAAUACCAAAACAAGAGAUGAAUUCCCAAGGCUUUCAGAAGUCCUCAGUUUCUAUGUUUAUGUUGAGGAACAGAUUAUCCAGGGAGCAGGGUAGCAUAGUACAGCCUUCGGCACCUGGGCUGAAAUGUAGCUAAGCAAAUGACUGCCCUCCCCUCUGCUCUCUUUCACCUCCACAGCCUAAGCCCUGAGGAACAUACGCACCAGGGUUGUCUUGAAGCCUGCAAACCCAACAGGUCCUCAGAGCUUCUGGCAAUGCAGCUGCCAAAGACAUCUGCAGAGCCCGUUUAGGAAGUCUGGUCCUUCUGUUCUUAGCAAUAUGCUAUGACUGUGCUACAAGAAGGUAUUCCUUUGUAUUUUUCUCUUAUACUGAAUGCUAUUCUAGCAUUUUUCUACUGACAAUGUAUGUGGUUGAACAUGGGAGAGAAUAAUAAAGGAAACAGCUUUGGAAGAACAGAUAUUAUUGACACAGCCCAGACUUUGGACAGUACACAUUAUUUGAUGGCAGCUUUUCAUCAGUUUGCCUUUCUAUGAGAACAGAUAGACUUGCCUGUCUCUCUCAAUUAGAGACAGUGUUCUGCUCCCAUUUAUGCCAGUAAAAUCCUCCAAAACUCAGUGAAACAACACUGGCAAAAGACCUUGGACUUAGAUGAUUUACUUUUAUGAAGAAAAACCUGAUGAAAAAGAACACAGAAAAUACAGUCCUCAGGGGUAAAAAUAACAGCACUGCAGUGUUACACAUCAGUGACUCUUGUCUUGGAGGUUAUGGAGUGGUGGCAGUCUGUGAGACAUGGACAUUGGAAAGUGGUCCAUGAGAUGAUCACAGAGGAAAAAUUAAAGAUAAAAAACAAAGGUGCUCUCACCCACAGUCAUGCAAGUGAGCAAACAAAUAAAACAGGAGGAAAUAAAAGGAAUAAAGGAACAAAGCUUAGCCUAGGUUGUAUUUAUUUGUGAAUGAAAAACAUUGUGAAAACACUACUCUACGGAAGAUGAGGUAUGGAUCUUCAUCAGGCAGGUGAGGCUGAUGCACAGAGCCCCGUGAAAGACAACCUGACCUCAACACACCUGGAUCUGUGGCUUCCUCAUCUGGGCUGCCAGGGCGGAGUGACCAGCCUUGAGCCUCAGCAGCCAGAAAUCAUCACGAGAGCAGAACAGCUGGUGUGUGCUACCCAAACCCACAUCUUGGGAACCAGCAGGAGCCCUCAGCUGAAACAUGGAUGCUUAUUAGAGCAGGACCCUGCCACAUGUGUCCCUGGCUGGGCUCCUUGGCAGCUCUGCAGUGACAGCAGAUAGCUGGGCUGUGUAACUGGCCCCAGGAGAAGGUUAAUCCUCUCUGUUCAAACAGCUGGAUGCACAGUACCGGCACUGUACUUGGAACAAAAGAGGAAAAAGAGCAAAGGGUUUAAUCUGCUCUGACACAGCAGAGUCCUUUUAUGUUCAGAUGGCAACUUGUUGAUGAAGAGGGCUACUGCAGAGUGAUGACUUCUCACUCCUUUAAUUUUACCUAUAAUUUUUGAUUCAUGUGUGAUUUCAAUAAAUUAAAGAACAGUACUGCUAAUCCAAGGAAGGCACAUUUUUUUCCACACAGUGCUGUCUGACCUUUUGUGCUGAAUAUCAGUAACUGAAUAUAUAUCCAAUACACCAUCUUUUUAGAAUUUAGAGAAGUCAGAUUUUAGAAGUUUAAUAUCUCUAUCAUCAGUAAUAUGUGUCAAAUAAUGCCUGCCUAUACUAAGUUAACCUAAAUUCUUCCUCCAGAGUAAAUCCUGUUCACUAAAGAAGACCACUUCUACCUCCUUUCCUCCAAUAUACAGGAUUGCAAAUCUUUAUCAGUUCAUUACAGAUAAAAGAGUCACUUGCUUCUGAAGCAUCACAGAUGUGCAAGAGAAAGUACUGAACAUGACAGACCAUUGGUGCCUAACAGGGAAUGAAACAAAAGAUAGGCUUAAUUGUAAAAGCUUGGGAGCCAACAGAUUUGGCAUUUCUACUGAGAUGUAUCAAUUCUCACUCAACCUUUCAUUUCUGUGACUGUAAAAGGGAUUUUUGCUAUCAACUUCCAUGGCAACAGAAUCAGGCUGCUGAUGUCUUUUGACUCAGUUUCCCAGUCAAUAAAAUAAAAAGGCCUGUACCUCUUUCAUGGGUGUAUAAACACACUAAUGCUGGCCCUGCAUGCUGAGAGCCGUGUAUUUGAUUCCAGAGUGUUAUUGAAACUGAUUGAUGCAACUCAUUACCGGGCUGUAGGCCAGACCAGCUUUUAAGUCCUUUCCAUGGCAGCAAAUUUGGGCCGUAUAAUAAACACAGCCAUGCUUAUAAGCAGAUCUGUCAUAAAUAUAACACAUCUGUGAUCACAAAAGCAUAAGUUUAUAGAGCAAAGCAGAAGGAGCAGUGAGGUGGAGGGACUGGACCCUUGCCGAUGUUGGUGGUAAGCCCUGGUCAGUAGGGCACAUGUCCUUGUCCCAUGCGAGGGCAGACCUCUGCAUUGCUUUCCCUGCUCUCAGGCUGCUGCUGUGUCUGCUGAAACAUCUAAGUAGAAACAUGUCUGCAUGAUUGUGCAUGAAGGUACACACUUAUCCAUGGGUGGAUUGCAAAGGGGCUUGAAGGGAAUGCAAGCACUCAGAUCACAUUGUAAUACAAGUUCUCCAUAUAUG